CAUGGCCUUCACUUGCAGCUAGACUAGUUUAUGGAAGCUUGCAACUCGUAUGCUGUGGAAGUAGCUCUUCCUAUUGUACUGCACAUCUCAUUUUCACAUAAUUUCCCUUGUCGGAGGACUUGUGAAGUUAUUAACAAGCAGCUCACGACAAGUCCGAGAGAUUAAAUAUCUAGUAAUUGAAGAAGUUGAAAUCAAUUAUCCAGAAAAGUUGUGACAAGAUCAAACACAUAUCUUGAUGGUUUCGUGUGGCUGCUGAAGAUUUACAUAGGAUUCCAAGGAAAUGUCACCAUGCAAGUAAAAAUUUAGCUUUUCUGCGGCAACUUACUUUUACCCGUUGUAGUUAUAGUAUUGUCAGGUUAAUGAUCUUGAUAGAUCGUGUAUAAUGUGUAUGGUUUAUUGCUUUGGUAUUCAAAAUACAAAUAAUACUUAAUCAUUUUGCUGUAAAAGUGAGGUAAUGUUUAGAACCAUGAUAAGAAUUGUCAUAUUUACUUUCCAUAUCCUAAUAUGCCACCUUAGGUAAACGCAUUGUCACCUUUUAUGUAUCGUUUUCAUAAAAUUGUUCAUUCGUAAUUAUUGUGGAAAAAGUUUUCUUCUUCAAAUCAUUUUAUUCGUUCAUUGGAUUAGAAGAUUUUUAAAAAUUAUUUUCGAUAAUAUUUUAUAAAUUUAGGUCCAUGGAAAGGAAGAAAAUUCUCAUUCGAGUUUUUUAAUGAGUAUAGUCUGUCUUAUUGAACAUAGGAGAAAGAAUGAUAGAAUAAUUCUGUCCUAUUGAACGUAGGAGGAAGAAUGAUAGAAUAACUUUUUAAAUUAUCGGGAAAAGCUCUUUCUUAAGUGUUAAACCAACGAAUAGAAACAUGAUUUUAAUAUCAAUUAUCAGGAUCGAAAUCGGCAAUAAGAGGAGGGUGAAUUAGUGCUUCUAAGAAAACGUGUGAAACGAUAAAAUCAUAUCGGAAAUACUAUGAUUAUUAAUAACAUUAAUCACAUCGUUUAAUUUAAAUCUCAUUCCCCCUUCUAGCACGUCUCAUAACGUCUUGCAGAUAGCUUCAUUGUCUAAAGUUCUUACCCACAAGAUAUCACUUCAGUGGCACCAAUCAGUUACCAACGCGUAUCUAUAAAACACUGCAAGGAACUUGCAUUUGUCGUUUUGUUUACUUUCUCAUCAAUUAGGGCGUACUAAAUCAGGACCGCACGUCUAAUCAACUAAAAGAAAGAGCACUACAAUUGUCAAUCCAUAAAGAAUGAUGCGCAAAUGCAUCGUAUGUACCCCCUACGGGGGAUACCCUUUUUUUCUCGAAACGCGCAACCCGGCGAUGGUCUUCGCCUUCAUCAUGAGGUAACGCGGGCUUGCUUGGACGCUGUGAUAACGUCUCCGACUCGAUCGUCUCGUUCACUUCUUGCGAGACGAAGAACCAACAAAAGCAAGCAGACACCCACCGUCGUCGUCGUCGUCCGUAUCUUGCCGUCUUUCCUUCUUCUACUUCUUGUUUCAGGUGCGGAAACGUAGCAAAGCGCAAGCGAUCACCCCGCCAUUCCGUCUACCAGACAGCCAAUGAGACGAAGCUUGCGGUGGCCUUCGGUGUCAGACCACCUCCAUCUUUCCCUGCUUUUCCCAAGUGGUGCCUCCACUGGACCUUUAAAUUUAAAUCAAGUAGCCGUUAUGACAGUCCUCCCCAAUCCCCAUUCAAAUCCCACGCAUUAAAUAUUUGGCCGUCAGGGUAGCACCACCCCACCGUAGUAGAUCACGUGAUUGCAUAUGGUCGCCAACCGUGCACCAACGAUGAUAUUAUUGUUAUCAAGUUGGGUUGUACCAUUACUUGGUUCUAAUUUGCACGCCAAGUUAGGUUUCAUCGAUUUCAUUUGAUUAUGCUGUAAGCAUAAAAUUUAUGAUAUGUUAUAUAUAAUGAAAAAAAAUUGAUGUUAUGACUCAAAUCAAAUAAGAUUAGAUCGAUUUUUACAAUCAAAUAAGAUUAGAUCGAUUUUUACAAUACCUAUUUAUAUCAUCUGAAAAAGAUCUAUCUCUAUGUGACCUGAGCGUAAGGAGAAUUAAACUUUCCUUCUUUUUUCUUCCUAUCUUUUCAAAUUACUUAGAUUAAUGAGAGAAUUAAACUUUCCUUCUCUUUUCUUCCUAUCUUUUCAAAUCACUUAGAUUAAUGAUUUAAAAAAAUUAUGAGAAACUGUAAUCUCUCAAUUAUGUCAUGUAUCAUUUAAUCCCUAGAAGUCAUAUCUAUUUAUAGGCAAGAAUAGAAGACUAUAAUAAGUUAUUAAUAGAGUUCCUCCCAUAUAUCCGAAAAAUUUCACUAUAAUAUAUUUUUUUCUAUUGAUAAAUAUCUAUCAUCAAAAUAUAAUUAAUUCUAUAAUAUAUCUUAUUCAAUUAUAAAGAAUAAUAUAAUCUAACAUAUGUUUCACGGCAAACAAUAAUUAGCCUAAUUGGAAGCCUCCAAGAGAGGUAUCAUUGUAUAGGCUUCAUUGUAGAAGGAAUAUUGCAAAGCAUAGAUCAAAAAGCUCUGUUUAGAGACUGCAUGCAUAUAUAUAAACAAUAUGAUCUCCAUGAUGAACGGAAUAGUUAAAGCCAAGUGUAUUAAAAGGACACAAUAAAUGGUGGACCAGGCCAGCUCAAUCUCAUGUGAGCAUACAUGUACACGUUUAUGCACCAAGGAACGUUAAAACAUCAGAAGCCAGUGGUAGAGGAGGAGGAUCUACAACAAGUAUUAAGGAGAUCUUGGAAUUUGAGCAUUGUGCACCACCACCCUACUCUUGCAGCUGUGAACUGGGACAGUUAAUGAGGAUGCUCCCGUUCAGAACUCUUCCACCUGUAAAUUUACAGUUUGACUAUAAAUAUUAUAAACUGAACAGGAUUCAAGUAGUACCUUUGAUUCCUACCUAGCUGUUACGAGAUGAGGGGACAUGGUAGCAGAUGUUGGAAUAUUACUAAGCUAAAAUUUCCAGUGACUUACAUGUGCAAGUCAUUGCCACCUUGUUCUAUCGUCACGCUUGCUCAAGCUUCCUUCUUCUCUGUGAUGGUAUCUCUCUGAUGACCGAGUAGAAGAUGACUCCCGACCUAGUUUGUGUUCCUGAGCAGGUGAUGGAAAAGGUUCAGCUGGUGCGACUGAUAUAAUCAUAAUGAUAGAGUCGAAUUGGGUUAGUUUUUUAUGAUGUAAUUGACGCACAUCACGAAUUAGCAAGUCAUCCAUUUCGAGCAUAUGGAUCACAUGCCCCAUUUUAGGGCGUUUAUGUGCGUCAGGAUCAACACAGCGGAGGGCCACCAGGAGAGCUCUUUUCAGUGCUUUUGGAGAUGGUUUCUCAGGAAUCCUAGGAUCCACCACUUGCUCGGAUUUUCUCUCCCCAACCAUGUUCUUCAACCAGUCAACCAAAUUCACCUGAAAAACACAAAAGUGAAUCAUCAAUUUAGCUUACAUGUUUUGGCCUCUCGAAUCUUUUCUUUCAGCAAGCAGAACAUGGUUAAGCAGUCAGUUCUGAGGGAAAGGUAACCUCUCCUGGGGGUCUUGUAUAAUCGACGGGUGCCCUUCCUGAUAUAAUCUCCAUGAUGAGAACUCCAAAGCUAUAAAUAUCACUUCUCUCGUUCAGCAUUCCGGUGCUAGCAUAUUCUGGUGCCACAUAGCUGCAUUUAACAACUAAAUUAGAGUUGCAAAGAUCUUGAAUUGCAAUAGAAGAAGCUUCAGUAUAAAAUUCGUCUCAAUCUCACCCAAAAGUCCCCAUAACACGGGUUGUUACAUAACUCCUUUCGGAGCACAAGAGCUUUGCAAGCCCAAAAUCUGAAACCUUGGAAUUCCAGUGGUGAUCAAGUAGAAUGUUGCUAGCCUUAACAUCACGGUGGACGACCUUUGGUUCAAGCCCUUCAUGAAGAUAGGCCAAGCUGUAAACAUCAUCACCAUAUUUUAAGAGCUACUAUUGGUGUCACCAUCUCAUCAAUAAUAAUAGAUAUGAUCAGCGUUUAAUUGCAUUAAGAAAAAAAAAUUGUUUUUAAGGAAACAGUGAAGAAAAAGUAUCUGAGGAGACAGUACAUUUCAUGGUUCAACAAAAGACAAAACCAGGUCUUUACUGAAAGCUGUUUCUGGUCAUGAACAACUCUUCCAUCUAGGAAAUGGGCCAUAUUUGGUACCAAAUAUUUCCUACUAAUUUUCUUUUUCGGGAAAUAGGACUUGAUAAGGGUCACUGACCAGAUGAAACCUAUAGCAUACAUUGGACAAUGGCCAUAAAAUAUUAGCGAUAAAAUAACUUUCAAGAACUUGAACAUGUCCAAUGAUCAUAGGUUGAAAAAUUGAUGGCCUCCAUCAUCUACUGAGUGCCAACUACUUUGUGUAGGUCUACAUGGUUGUCAUGUUAUUCGAUAAAUGUCUUCAGUUCAGUUGCACGGAAACAAACCAUCAGAUAUAUGCAAUCCUCCAAAGCAUACAUGUAAAUUACCAAUACAAUGUCAUGUUUAGAUUGUGAGAUUGAUGCCUCAUUUGGGUGGUUGGUAUACUUACAUCAAUAAUACUAUUUCAUAAACACAUUUUUUGCAAUACAUUAAGGUUAUGAAGAACAUGAUAACGGCAAGAUGAAGUUUUGCCGAUCUAUCUCCUAGUCCGGUUGUAAGAGAGAGGAUAGGGGAGUAUACCCUUUUGCAGUUCCAAGUAUUAUGUUCAUCCUGAUGUCCCAAGUCAGCGGACUAACUUCUCCGACGCCUCCGUGCAGCCACUGUUCCAGAUUACCAUUGUCUACAUACUCAUAAACGAGCAUCCUAUCCAAAGAAAACAAAGAAUGCAGAUUAGCAGACAAUCAUUCCUUGAGAAGCUACCCCAUCAUAAGCAUUUAGCAGAACUAAAGCAAGAAGCUUUAGAAUGUAGAUCAACACACUGAGUAGAAUACCUAUAUUCCCCCUCAACGCAGUAGCCAAGCAAUCUAACCAGAUUCUUGUGCCUGACACGCCCAAUUGUUUCAACCUCGACCUUAAAUUCCUUCUCAGCUUGCCCCCUGAUGAAAAGAGAAACAAAAAAAAAGGGAAAAAUGAAUGGAUUUUUCUUUCUAACAAUUUUAGAUAUAGUUACUACACAGAUCGUAAUCAUGCAUUAUCAUCCGAGAGUGGAACAAAUCCACAAGUGAAUGGAAGCACAUUCUCAUGUUCAACUCAAUGACCACCACAAAGUAGAUUGAGCAUCUAAAGCACGAUUGAUCUCCGGUUGGAAUCGGAACAACACGAAAACAUGCAAGUGAAAAAGGGGCAAAUUUUAGAACUUGAUCAUGACGCAAUCUAUAAAUCGAGCAAUCGACGGAUCUGUGAUUUGGGAAGCGGGCACGCACCUGUUGUUGAGCAAAUUCUUGACGGCGACUAUGGUGUUAUCCGCCAACACUCCGCGGUACACGAUGCCGUACCCUCCCUCCCCGAUCACGUUCUCCUCGGCCAGACCGCCGGUGGCCUCCUCCAGCUCCCGCAACGUGUACCAGUGGCCCCACCCCAGAUGCGACACCUCCGGCGGGCCCCCGCCGCCUCCCAUGGACGAGGGCGUCCCGAUGGUCUCGCCGCUGACCGUCCCCGUCGUGGAUGCGGACGGCGGCGCCGCCGGGGGCCGUGGGUGGCUGUUGUGGUGGUGGUCGGCGAGAACGACGCGGUGGUCGGCCUUGCCGACGUCGAUCCGAACAUCGGCGACCGAGACGGGGGCGGCGGCCGCGGCAGCGGAGGCGCUUUGAUGAUGGUGGUGGUGGAUCUCGGGGAUGUCCUUGGUGACGGGCGCGGUGGAGUCUUGGAGGUGGAGCUUGAGGGAUUUCUGCGGCUUCUUGCGGGGGGAAGAGGAGGGAGAGCGGCGGCGGGAUGUGAGGCAAAGGGAGAUGAGGAAGAGGACGAGUACGAUGGCCGCGCCGACGCAGAUGCCGAUGACCACCCACAGCCUGAGGCCGAAGACGGACGUUUUCUUCGACAGCUCGUUGUUGAGGAAUCCUCCGUUCCAAAACGACAUCUUGCCCCCCCUCCCUCUCUUUCUCUCUCUCUCCCCUCCUCAAGCACCUUCCUAUAUAAAUUCUUGUAUUGGUAAAAGAAUCAGAUAGAAUCGAGGAGGAAGAGACGAGAACGAGGAGGAAACGAAGGCAUUCGGAAAAGCUGGCCUGCGAUCUGAAACCAAAGUUGACUACAAGCCGAGAGAGAGAGAGAGAGAGAGGAGAUUGAUCUAAUAGUGUACUAAUGGCACAACGUGGGUGGCUUUGUUGUUAUUAGCGGCCUAAUAGUUUCGUGGGAGCGCAGACUCGGAGAGGUGCUUCGGGCAAGCAGCGCAUUGUGGCCGGUGGUGGCGAGACGAGGAUGCCGCGCACGUGACGGAGAAGUGUCGCUAGAGAUAGAGUCACGUGUUUCCGAAACAUUUUUAACUGCCACGUGUAACGUCAUGCCAGUUAUCAGACAGCGCAACGCGUGCAGUACUCGAAUUGGGGCGGAACAAUAAAAGAUCAAACCCGGUCCAAUUUGAUGGAUUUGAAUCCACGGUUCGAUGUGGUUCGCGUACUCAAUAUGGUGUGUGUUUAGGUGGAAUGUAGUAAAAGAAUGAGAUGAUUGCCUCAUGAAUUUUCCAAUUUUUUAUUAUUUUGAAAAUCCAAAAACAAUAUCCUAUAGUAGGAAAAAUAUCAUAUGCACAUAAAGAGAGUUGGACUUAAUAUAUAUAUAUAUGGAAUGUUUUUGAUUGGAUAUUAAAUUCCUGCAAUUGGCAUUAAUUACUAACUAAUGCAAAGCUAAGAAAUGCUUACAAAUAUCCAGAAGAAGUUUUCUAAAAGAAAAAUAAAAAAAGUAGAUAAAGAAAUUUACAGUCAUAAUUACUGAUUCUUACUCAGCAGUUGCUAUUAUCGAUUACAAAAGCUCCUGAUUUAUUUUGUCUCUCAGGAUAGAUAAUCCAUGACAAAAGUUUGAAUUAACAGUUCUCAUCAACAACUACUGAAAGAAACUAAGAACUUAAACAAAUGCUGCAGAUCCACGAGAUUGGAGAUGCAAGCCUUUUAGCCAAAGUUGAUUCCUUGGCAUGUCAUCUCAUCAUUUGUAAGCAGCUUUUUGGCAUCAGGAAUGCCUUGGGAAUGGAGCAAACAAAUUUUCUUUUCCUCCGACAACGUUUACAUUUUUGGGUGCAGAUAUGUUCUUUUGGGAAGACGACUGUCACAUGUACAUUAAUAAAAAAAAAAGACGACUGUCUUUGUUUCGAAGUAUAUCAAGCCUUUGUUGUUUAAAAGAUCAACGACGAAAAUUUUUAUGGACAAUUCAUUUCUUAGUUUCUAUAAAAGUUGCAUGUAUAUGAUCAAAAUUGUGCAUAUGGCCUUCUAAAUUCUCUGUAAUAUAAAAUGUAUUCAAGUUUUGGCCAUGUAAAGAGCAUUGCUAUACUAUGUAUGGUGUUGUGUAUCUAGAAUUGUGUAAACCAAAACCAUUGACAUAUUCCAGUUUUUUCGAGAUAGUAAAGAGUGUUUCUCUAAUAUGUAUGAUAUAUGAGUAAAUGUUGUUAAAAACAGAACAUUUGAGUAUGUCAUUUUCUAUUUUUAAUAGUAAAAUGGGUAAUACCACGAUUGGCUUUUUUUCAUUUAAAGUAAAAUAUCAUACAUUCAUGUAAUAUUUUUUAACAUUUAAACUUCUAAUUAUGUCAUAAACACCUGGUAAAAAUUUAGUCUUCAAAAAUUAUUUCCUUAUAUGUGAUGCAUUAUUUUUGACCAAAAUCAAAAAAUAGUGCAUCACAUAAUAGGACUUAUCAAGAUACUAUAAAAUUUUGAGGAUACUUUUAUAUUGGAUCCAUACGAAUAUAUUUCAAUGUUUUUUAUUUUAUAAUUUUUUUCAGUAUUUUUCAGAAUUAUUCUAUUCUUGCAUAGUGUAUCAUUUUUUAUUUUUCCUCAACAUUCAAAUAUCCAUAAAAAUUUAUGCACUCAUGCAAAUUAUUUUUACAUUUAAGCUUCUAAUUAGGUCCUGAGCACUUAAUACAAAUUUGGCUCUCAAGAAAUAUUUCCUUAUAUUUGAUGCACUGUUUUUGGUCAAAAUCCAAAAACAGUUAUCAAAAUACUUUAAAAUUUUACAUAUACUUUUCCAUUAGAUCCAUCCAAAUGGACAUAUUUCAAUGUUUUUUUUUAUUUUAGAUAAUAUUUUGAUAUUUUUCUGAAUUAUUUAGUUCCUACACAAUGUGUCAUUUUUUUCUAACUUUUUGAAAUUUUCACAAAAAAUUCAUGUACUCAUGUAAUAUUUUGUAAUAUUUAAGCUUUUAGUUAGAUCAUGAAUACCUAAUAAAAAUUUGACCCUCAAAAAAUAUUUUCUUAUAUAUGAUGUACUAAUUUUAGCCAAGAUUCAAAAAUAGUGCAUCAUAUAGCAGCACUUGUCAAAAUAUUCUAAAAUUUAGAUAAUACCUUUGCAUUAGACCAACAUAGGCUUAUUCCUUUUAAUUUUAGAAAUUAUUUUUAUUUUUUAAAUUCUUUUUAAUUUCACAAAGCACAAGCCUCUGCUCUUGUCUUUUAAUUGGCAUAAGAAGAUCAUCUUACAAAGAAGAUUGUCACAGAACCUCACAAGAUCAUGUUGGAUCACAUAUAAGCAAACAUGAGGAUCAACUCCACCACCUUUGAUAUUUCAUAGCACAAGGACAAAAAAUUUCCACAGAAUCUACGAAGAUAAAGAAACAAAAAUAUAUCUAGUGAGGAUAAGGCUGUACCAUUGGUUUCCGAAGAUAAGGUUGUCGAUGAUGCAUCAAAGACUAGCCAAAAAGUGUGCUGUUCUUUAGGUGGACGAUGGAAACUCUCCUGCAUCAAGUAGGAUUACCCUCACCUCCCCUUGCUGAAAGAGCUUUCCCAUGGAUCAGAAGCAGCUCAAACCUCGUACACCACACUAAUCUUCUCCAUGCACUGAGAUCUUCAAAAAGAAGAGCAGCACGGCUGCAAGCCCAAGGGAGAGGCUUUGGUGUGUCUGUCUCAGAUAGGAAGGCCAGGCCAGAAGAAGAUGACGGCGUGUACCGCAGCGAAGACGGGGACGACGAGAUUCCACAAGUGGUGUUCGAUAGGAUGAUACGACGCAUAGUGUUCUCUGUGGGGGCUCCAAUGGCGUCCGGCAUCGGAGUGCUGUAUCUCGAAAGCUUUCUUAAGAAAAGCCAGCUAUGGGAAGUACCGGGAUGGCUGCCAUUGCUGACCAUCCUGCUGUCCUUCGGGACGUCCGCCUUGGGGAUUGCUUAUGGGACGCUAUCCACUAGCUGGGAUCCAAACAAGGAAGGAAGCCUCCUUGGGUGGGAGCAAGCUCGGAAGAAUUGGCCUGAGCUGUGGAAGGACGAAGAAGACGAAAGCAAAUGAUCUGAUGCCUCGAGCUACAUAGAAUUUUCUCGACUGUAAUCCAUGUUUACUGUUGCUACUCUGUUCAUGCAACACCCUAAAUGACCUUCUUCUACGGUUGUUAUGUCGGCCAAAAUAUAAGCUUGAUGAUGAAUGGAUAGCGAAGGCCUUGCGAACUUAUCUAUGACUCUGUAGAAUUUCUUACAUGAUCAAUGCAAAUCAAAUCUUUGGAUUACUUGUGGAGUUGGUGUGUUCAAAAUGCUGAUAGUUGUGUGCUCAAUACCAAAACGAAUGAGAUUUCAGGAUAAAGAAGAGGAAUGAGGACUGAAACAAUGAGGUGUUGAGCAUAAAUUGUGAGGUUUUAAUUCGUUCUUUGAAGAACAAAUUUAGGGAAGGAGAAUUUUGCAGAUACGACAUUUAGCUGGUGCUCUGCGUCUGCGUCUCAGAAGUGGCGGCGAGUUCGAAGACUGGAAUAGCCACGGCGGAGAAGAUCGGGUGUUUGCUCGUAGCCGGAGAACACACAUUGCCAUACAUCAGCGAACGCGCGGAGAAUGGUGCCGUGGUGUCGCGGAGAGUUGAGGGCAAGGAACCGGCGGAGCAGCUCCCUCAACCCUGCACCGUCCACGAUUUCCUCCUCGACGAUCAUAUGCAGCAACGACCGCCGAAACUCACCGAGUGGAUUCUCCGUCUCUUUCACCACCACGACGCCGUCCUCCGCUCUUCUCCCUCCUUGGCUGCUGCUACGACAGUUCACCCUCUUCUCUUCCUUUCCGCCGUAGACGCUCGAAGAAGCGUGGCUCCCCCAAGCCAACACGCUCUGCUCCAGCUCGUUGAGCUGGCGUAGAAGCUCGGGGAAGCUGGGCGUGCUUGCCGAGCUUUCCGUCUUCACCUCCGCAUCAUCCUCCUCGUAGGAGGAGGAGGUUUCGGAUGUCAGGGUGAGGGUGAGGGUAUCCGCAGAAGAGAAAUCCCCGACCCUGGGCACCUGUGGCGGCGUCAACGUCGACUUGCCGCCCGAGCUGCCAGGCACCGAAACCGAUUUGGAGUCGGUACAGCCGCAGGCAAGUGACAGAAACGAGCCACUUCUCCUCUUCUGCACGUUUGUACUCAUCUUCUCUUUCUCUUCUCUUCUCUUCUCUUCAAGGUGUCCUGAAGACGAAAUCACCACCCAGUACAUCCGCCUCCAACUAGAAGCAGAUGGUCGGUCCCCUCGUCAGAGUGUAACGUCGAUAUAGAUUGGCCUGCAAGGAUCAGUACAUGCACACGCAGCUAAGCUCAUGGAACUUUGCAUGCAGGGAGACUUUUGUUGUGUGUGAGAAGGGGAGGAGGUCAGCGUUGAGCGCAGACAAAAAGAUCAACUGUGGAGGAGUUCUUCGAGUGCCUGACAGCUAAGGUAUGAUCAAGCUGAUGGGCAUGUCCCAACCAUCGAAGAUGGCUGACGUAUAGGGGGAGGAAGAAGAAGCCAAAGCAGAGAAAAAUACAGGUAUUCCGUAUUUUUAGUGAUAUAUUGGAUGUCUAUUUGGACAUACCAUUUGGGAUGUCGGAGAACAGAACAAGAUAUGAAAUCGAUGUGUUUGCCUGUGAUGUAAUCCACCUCCGCCAAUUGUUGGGACGAUUAAUUUUGUGAAUACGUUCUCAUUAAAUCAUUCGAAUGAAAUAAAUUACUAGGGUUGGGAUCCUCGAGACAAAAUCUAAUUUAGAUUUUGAUCCAUAUAGUUUUGUUCUUUGGUCGACUCCAUAAUAGGUCUUAUGGACCAACUUUUAAAUGAAUCUACAGAGAACUAAAGGCUUAUAUAGGCCGGCGGUUGGGUUUAUGUGAUAGAUUAUGUCCUCGCACAAUGAUCAAAGAUAUGAUGGAAACAAAAUAAAUGAUGUGUAGUGACUUGAGAGACCAGCCGCUUCUUUGUUGCUUGUUUUAGGAAGUUUGAUGGAACACGUUGUAUAUGAUAUGGGAAGCUGUUGGCCAAUGCUCGUCGCUUGAUUCGACACCAGACAUAGCAUAAAUCAAUAUGAUGAGACUGGAGGCAGUCGCAAGCUAUCAAAGUACAGGAAGGGAGAAGAUGAGGAUCAAAUGAAUUGAAGUGAGAAGGAGAGAAGUUUAAAUUAUUAUGAGAGGAUGAAGGGGUGACUUGCAUCGUUGGAAAAGACACACUUGUAUUGAUGCAUGAGAAUCCAAGUUUAGUUUUGUGGGGAUCUAAUUAAUAUUAUGCAUGCGUCCCCACGACUUGGAGUUGUCACAUCUUGGAUUGCAACUCAUCAUGGUGAUGAGCUCUGUGGGUUGGCAAUAUUGGAACUGUGGGUGUGACUGUUGGUGGUGGCGAUCCUGACAGCAGCAAUGAUUACCGGCAAAAAAUUAUUCAUCUUGACCAAAGCUCUACACAGAUUGAGGAGGCCGAAGACAUGAUCGAAGUUAAUCUGGUUGAUUCAGAUAUCAUUAGCGAGGGACAAUCUCUUCGUGAAAAGAGCCUUACAUAUUAUAGUUUAGUCCUAUGUUACAUGGAGAGUAAAAAAAACAAAUUGAAUAAAUUUAUAAUCUUAGAUUAGUCUAUUAUUAUUAACUUAGUUUAGGUAUUUUGAAUCAAGAAAUUAAUGAAGUAAUGUGAUGGAACUAUCGUUGUGCGAAGGAAGAAAGAAAGGAUGCAAGUGUAAUCUUUUUUCAAUUAGUAGUAAAAAGGAACUACUAGUCUAAAAUCAAAUCAAAUAAAAAAAAGAGAAAUCAACGACAAAGAAAAAUUUUAUUGAACUUCUAAAAAGAAAAAAUACUUACGAUCUUAAAUGAUUCUUAGAUUUAGACUUGAAAACUUGAGGCUUUUUUUAAUUGAUAUACAUAUACGUACCACCUAUUUAUAGAUAUAAAAUAUAAGAGACUUUAAUCUCUAUGACUCUAUCUAAUUUUUUUUGAAAUCUUCUAAAAUAUAUUUUAAACUAAGAAUGUCUUAUCUAUAAAACUCUAUAUAAUCUUAUUUAAAAUAUAAAAUAUUAAUUNNNNNNNNNNNNNNNNNNNNCUAUGACUCUAUCUAAUUUUUUUUUGAAAUCUUCUAAAAUAUAUUUUAAACUAAGAAUGUCUUAUCUAUAAAACUCUAUAUAAUCUUAUUUAAAAUAUAAAAUAUUAAUUUAUGAUCUUUCAAAAUAUAUUUUAACUUCUUCACACUCCCCCUUAAAGUAUGUUUUUAGAGAUAAGUUCCAACUUAAUUGGAAGGUCAUGCCCAUAACUGCCACCAAGUAUGGGAUCAUAUGUAAAAAUAUGAUCUCGACAAAACUGUUCUCUAAGGUAUACGUGAAUUUUACCAUACGGAUCCUUUUUUAUACUAUUCGAAAAUCUACUUGAAUCAAGUUGCUUCAUUUAAUAACUUGUAGGACCAUCUAAAAUACCUUUUGACUAAGAUCCUGAUCCAAGCUUAUUAGAUGUAAUACCACUAAAAUUUCAAACUGGACUUCGUAUAAAAAGCACAACAUCGAUACAAUACAAUGAUCAAAUUCAAGAAUAGACUUGUGCAAAUUAAAAAUGGUAUUAAAUUCCUCAUGAAAACCAACAGGAAAUGAUCUGAAUCUUUCAUAUGGCAAAGGCCUAAAAGUAUCUUUAGGCAAUCCAUGAGCAAAAAUAGAAUCAUGUAUGCCAUCAAUUUAAAAUUUCCCUAGAAUCACAUUAGCCUUAACAUCUUUAGCUUCAUAACAAGUAGGCUCAAGUUCAAAAAUAAGAAAUAGUGAGAUAUGUUUACAUUGUCUCCAUCUUUGUAACGUGCUAGUUUGACAAUAAUUCUUUUUUUAUAUUUUUAAUGUUAGAAUUUCUUCUUCAUGAACAUAAUGACUCUGCUUAUUACUUUGCUUCAUCAUUAGUGAUGAUGAAAUAAUAUGAAUAUAUAUAGAUGAGGAAGGAGAUGAACCAAAACCUAUAAGAGCAUUAGAUAACAAAGGAAUCUCAACCACAAGUUUUGCACAUGUAUUAUUUUUGUUAUUGUGAUUGAUAUUUAAUUCUUUUAUAUCAUAAAGAAACUUGUUUUCAUUAGGACAAAAAAGAACAUAAUUUUCAAUAUCAAUUGUAUUUGUAACAUAGAAGAGAUUUUUCUUUAUAACUAGAAUAUGAUAUAAUAGGAUCAUUGUAUGAGAUUAUGAUAGUAUCUUCCUUUUUCACUUGAUGAACGGUGUUAUCUAUCAUGAUAAUUGCAUCAUUAUCUUCAUAUCGAUAAAGAUUGAUGAAUUUGGUACAUCAAUAAUGGGAUGAUAACCACAUCCUAAAUCAACAAUUCAUCAUUUUCAAAAUUGGUAGAUAUCAUGGCCUUAGUAGUUUCAAUCAUAAAACAUUUGCCCCAAUCUUCAUCAGUAGCAUUAAAACAAUCUUCUUUAUUUAUAAUAUUUUCUUCUUUAAUCUUCAUUAUUCUUAAUAUGGCCUAACUUGCCACACUUAUAACACUUGAUCUUCUUUUGAUUUAUACUAUUAUUUGAAUAAGACUCUUACUUGUUAUUAGCAUCAUCAUUUUUCUCUUUAUCUUUAUCAUUACCUUUUUUUAUUUGUAAAAAGAAUAUCUUUAUCUCCCCCUAAAGUAGAAAAUCCUAUCAUUUGACGAGCUAAGGAUUCCUGAGAAUCAAGAAGAUUUCCUAACUCUACUAAGAAUGACUGCUGAACGCAUCCUUGAAAUGAUAUACCAUAAGGAAUAUAUUCUUUUUAAGAACCACGAAUAAUAUAGCAUUUCAUUCAAGCAUCAAAAAUUGGUUCAUAUGGAUCUAAGAGUGAUAUCUCUUUAACAUAAAUUUUAAUCUUCAAAAAAUACUAAGAAAUUAAGAGAUCACCUAUUUAUCAAAUCAUUCUCACCUAUGAAUAAUGUCUUCAAAGAUAUCAUGAGAAAUAGAUCUUUUUAAUAUAAAUUCAAUUUUUGCAUUUAAAAUUCUUCAUCUUUUCAUGCCAUCUUCAUGUACAGCAUCUUGUGCUGUUGUUGCAUUGUCACCAAUCAUAUCUCAUAGAUCUUCUCCUAUGAGAUAAGACUCCAAACAAAUCUUUUAGAUCUUAUUGUUAUAUUGAUUGAGAAAUUCAAUACUAAAUCCACCAACUUUACUAUAAUAUUUCAUAGUCACAAAAGAUUAUCUUCUUUACUAAGGAGAUCUUGAAAAUACAGAUUAUCACUAUUGUGACUCUGAUACCAUAUAAAGAAAGGGAGGAUCACAUGCAGGUACAAUCUUUUCUAUACUACUAAUAAUGUACUACUAGCCCAAGAUCAAACUAAAUAGAAAAAAAAAAACUAAGGUGAAAAAAAAAAUUUAUUGAACUUUUUAAAAAGAAAAAUAUUUAUAGAUCUAGAACACGACUCUUAAACUUGAAUACUUGAAGCUUUUUUUAAUUGAUAUAUAUAUAUAUAUAUAUAUAUAUAUAUAUAUAUAUAUAUAUAUAUCACAUAUUUAUAGAUAUAAAAUAUAAGAGUCCCUGAUCUCUAUAACUCUGUCUAAUCAUAUUUGAAAUCUUCUAAAAUAUGUUUUAAACUAAAAAUUUUAUAUUUCUAAAAUUUUAUCUAAUCUUAUUUAAAAUAUAAAAUAUUAAUUUAUCAUCUUUCAAAAUAUACUUUAACUUAAUCGACAAGGGUUUUAUUUUGAACUAUAUUAUCUACGUAAUUGAAUGAAAUUUUAAUAUUUUGGAAGAGAACACUCCAAAAUGAUUAUCCGAAUUUUAAUACGGCAGGACCAACUUAAAAAUUACCAGUAGCAGCUACUAACCAUUUUUAUGUGCAGUUGGAUCUUCUUGCAGGAUAGCUACUAACCAAUGCGUCGCGUAUGGCUUUUGGUAAGCUUAGUAUUUGAUAAGGUGGCCUGAAGGGCCCAAAGUUUAGUAGGAUGUCAUUUGAUUCUGUGGCAUCCUUUGGCAGAGGAGCAAAUAGGCAUUUAUAAGGACACUAUUAUCUAAUAUUACCUUUUAACUUUAGCUGCCUUUGCAUUCGCUCUUGAAUCUAUCUGCACGCACUCCGAGCAAAAGUGGAAAUCACUUUUUCCCACCUUGUCCAGAUGCUUUAAAAGCUGUGUGUGGCUUAGAUCAUACGCUAUCAGAGGGAGAAUGGUGAACGGACGUCCACCGAACUGAGGAAUGAGGAGGCCAUGGCAGGACCGAGAGAAGAAAAUGUGUAGGCCUACUGUUCCAACUUUUGGGUAAAAGAUGAAGAAGCUCUUUUGUGCUAUAAAACUAGUCUGCUUGAGGCUUCCUAUAAUUUAUGCCUACUUUGUUAUUCUUCGUUUUACUUCUGUGCUAUAAAAAUGAUUUUUUUUUCUUUCGCUUUUAGCAUCAUUUAUGAAUAAUUUUUUCUUACUUAAUCCUUCGUUAUAUGUCCAAACUUUGAUACUAUUUAUCAUGAUCUAAUUUAAUGAGAUAACUGAAUCGUUAAUUUGAUGAUAAUAUAUAUAUCGUGAUGAAAAUAAUAGAAGUUAAAAAUAAUCAUCGAAGAAACUUUAUUGAAGAAACUUUAGUGAAGAAGUGAAGAAGCUUAAAUACAUUAACAUAUCUCUCUCCGAUUAGGAAGAAGAAUUUUCCUCAACAGAAUAAAGGAUGGAGCCUCUUAGAAAUUUGGCUACAGCGAUGUUGGUCGCUGGCCGAAGACAAGGGGCUGGCCGAAGGCAAGAGCAAUGCUUCACUUUUCUGACUCUGAUACUAAAAUAAUAAAAGAUAAAAAUAAUUAUUGAAGGAGUAAAGAAGCUUAAAUAUAUUAACAUGUCUCACUCUUAUUUAUAUAGAUUAGGAAAAUCUAACGUAUGAUUCACGCAGAAUCUAUCAUCGCAACCAUUUGACUUACAGUCACCUCCCAACAUGUCAGAGUUACUAUUGGAAUAUGCCAACAUCAUCCACAGUCAUGACUUAGGUGUCCUGCACAUGGAGGCCGUCUGUGGGAUUCCGACGGUCUCCAUUUGGUCGAACCUCCUUUAACAUGCCUUCUUCUUCUUCUUCUUCUUAGCAGGUGGUGAAGGUAAAAGAAGUGGGAUCCAAGUUAUCACGUACCAUACAAGUCGAUCUCCGGCCUGUGACGGUGGCUUGCCACCCCCACCCCCCACUGCACAUAUGUGAGCCAGCUGAAGGCUUCAAUGACGAACUCACUCUCGCUUUAAUGAAACUUGCCGUCGAUGUCCCCGCAUCAGAUCUUGAUGACAGUGCAGCACAUUGGAUCAAUUACUCUGUCGAUUGCCACUCGGAAGAGUUCUUCCUAUACUUAAUUCAUAUCCAUCCAUUGUCCGAUCAUGCGUAUAGAUUAAUAUACCACUUCCUGCAUAUCCAUGUUUGUUGAGAGUCAAAGAAACUCUUCGUUCCAAAUCCAUUGAAUCAAGAAAAGCAAAGCCAUGUAUGUUGAUGCUGAUGAAUUAGGCUUAAGGCAGUCUGCGUCUCUCUUUUUAGACUGAAGGAUUCUUGUUUUACAUCCGUCAGCUUCACCAAAGCUUUUAAGGGUGUAAAAUUCUGACCGUUCAGUGUGCAAUUGCUUUGUGUUCUUGUCUUUCUGCCUCAUCUCUAUGUCCUAUUUUGUUGUCCUCCUACAACAAAUAAUACACUCCUGUGAUUGCGUUUUAGGCAAUGCCUGCCUCUCUCUCUCUCUCCGGUAUAGUGCUUCAGCAAGACGUGGGAGACCAUCUCGCUUCGAGUGCCGGUGAAAUGCUCGACCUUUCCUGGUUUGGGACGAAACUUCUUUCGCUCUAUACCCUAUUCCGUUCCGACACUGUGGCAUCCCAAUAGAAAGUCCCAUUCGGGCUUACCCAACGAAGCCACUUCCGAGCCUUCAAGGCGUAUAAAGUACAAGUAUGCUGCUAAAGCUUUCUGGCGAUAUGCCCUCUGUAGAACCGUGUCAAGCUAAGGAUGGAGUGAUAAUUGAAGAGAUGCAUGACGAAUGAGAGAGAAGGAGAGAAUAAGAAGGCUUAGCAAGAGAACGAUCCAGACCAUGCCAUCGUCCACCAACCUUGCAGAAUAGGAUGACGAAUGAGGUGACAAGGAGGUACCUUUUUCUCGCUCCACACCACGCAAAAUACAGUCGCCCCCCCUAUAAUUCUCCCGUUCGUGUCGCUCCAUUUUGCGUAGGAGACCUGCCUACUUGGAUCCCCAUCACCGUUUCCUCUGCCGCCUUUCCCUUCCCUUCCUUGGAUCACUUUUCUUCUUCUCCAAACAGAUACCUCCACCCCUCUCUGCCUCUCCUUCUCUUGGUCAUUCGCAUCUGCAGUUUGUGGCUGCUUCAAGGGAUGAAGGUGAGAUGUAUUCUUUUUUAUGCAUUUUGGAUUCCUUCCUCCUGUCCUGAUGAUGGCUCGCUAAUUUUUAUUGGAUUCCGCCAUCGUAUUCUUGGGGCCUCUAGUAGAUCUUCUGAUGUCGUGAAGAGGAAUCAUCCCGUUUAUUCUUGUAGAAUGAUUCUGAUGGAACUUUUCAUUUUCUCUCUUCUUUUGAGAGAGAAAAGCUUUCAUCUUUAUCUUCGUCACUAGAGAUCUUUAAUUCUGAUGGUUCAAUCUCUGAAGAGCUUUGUUUGGUUACAUCUCUUCCAAGUCUAUGAGUAGGCGACAGAGUUUAAGCCUCUAAUGUGAUCAUCCAUUCAUUCAUCGGUGUGACUUGUAGAAAAUUGUGUUGAAAUUGGACUUGCAUGAUGAUAAGGAAAAGCAGAAGGCCAUGAAGACUGUCUCUACCCUUCAAGGUAUCGUAUGCUCCACCUUUUCGCUCUCGUAGCGUAUUCUUUGUUUCUUGUAAGUCAAUUUCCAUUAAUUUAGAUAUCAGAAUUCACUAGAUAAAACAGAGUCCAUUCAGUACAGAAGCUAGAAUGACUGCUUCGCAUCAUACUGUAUCGAACAGGGAUCGAUUCCAUUGCGAUGGAUAUGAAAGAGAAGAAGAUGACGGUGAUCGGUUCCGUCGAUCCCGUGAGCGUCGUGAGCAAAUUGAGAAAAUUCUGGCACACCAACUUAGUCUCAGUUGGACCUGCGAAGGAGGAGAAGAAGGAGGAGCCUAAGAAGGAGGAGCCUAAGAAGGAGGAACCCAAGAAGGAGGAAGCCAAGGAGGAGCCCAAGAAGGAGGAACCCAAGAAGGCGGAGGAGAAGAAAGAGGAACCCAAGAAAGAGGAGAAGAAGGAAGAAAAGGAAGAGAAGAAAGAGGAGCCCAAGAAGGAGGAGAAGAAGGAGCCCCACGACCAAAUGAUAGCGGACAUGGUGAGAGCAUACAAGGCCUACAACCCUCACAUGACCACCUACUACUACAUGCACAGCGCCGAAGAGAAUCCAAAUUCUUGCAGCAUCCUGUGAUCAUCGUCGCGUCUCCAGAAAAGAACCAGAAAAGAAGAAGAAGAAGAUGGCAUAAUAACUCCGUGGGGCGAUUUCCCUCGACGACUCUGUGGAG
rnacentral:lncRNA from 1 species